GGUUCCAUUGCCGACAUGGCCAACUCUGAUCCCCACUACCCCGGCUCCUCCAUCAAGGGCGACUUCAACUAUGGCAGCUGCGUGGCCUCCGCCAGGCCAGCGUACAUAUCCGCAUGGCCUUUCUAUGAAA